UUUUUUUUUUUUUGAUUUCAUUUCUUUUUGUCUUACUCUGUUACAAAAUUGAAGGAAUUUGUUCAAAAUGUUUUGACAAUCCAUUAGUAAAGGGUGACUUGUUCUUCUUGCAAUAUGAAUGGUGAUGGGCUGAUAGUUAUUUCGCAUUGUGGAUUUUGAAGCUGUUUCGUAAAACAAAAUAACAGUCUUUGGUGUGGAGUAUUAUGAGUGCUUUGUCAGUUGGAGGUAAUUUGCACUGGCCUUUCUUGGUGAUUUUGCUUGAAAGAUUAUUUUAACAGUACUGGGAUGGGAAAGAACAAUGAUGAAUAAUAAUGCUUGUCUAUACUUAUUAGAAGAUCCGUUUAGGAGAAUAAUACCCACCUUGUUCUUUAGUUUCUUGCUUGUUUUACGUAGUUAUUUUAGAUUUGCUGUCGCAUGUUCUUUAGGGUUUCACUAUAAUUUUAGUUUGUGGCAGUUGGCAACUUUUUCUUUGCCCUUCUCCCAUAUUAGUAUCUGCUACGAAUUGUAUUGCCAGAUAAAGCAAGUGGAUGUUGUUGUGGCCAGUCCUGUAUAAUGUUGUAAUGCAUACAUUUAUGUACAUAAUUACAUAUUCGGCUAUUCGCUUUCACUGUAGUUCCUUGCUAGUGUAUUGAUUUAAAAUUGUGGAGUCUAACUGAAGCCCCAAGUAUGCUUAUCAAUAACUUGUCCUUCUUGUUUCCUGCAUUGUUGUUUGUAAUUAAUCUUAAGGUACUUGUUGAGACUUCAGAAACAAGAUGACUGCUAAUUCUUCUGCUCGGUAAUGAUUCAUAUUUCUAGUACCUUAUUUUUCCGAUGUAAUUGUGCCUGUCAGAUAGCAACAGAUAAGGUGCAAGCAUCAACAUAUCAAUGGCUAGGAGAGAGCAAGGGAGGUUCCACCUAUUUGCAGAAGAACAAGUGACAGAGCUUUCUUGAGCAGUAAUAUGAUAUAACAGACAUGCAUUUGUGCACGUCGGAGUUAAAAGGAUUUGUAUAUGACGAAUGGAGAGAGCACAAAUUUACCAAAUGCUCUGACUACUAGGAUUUGAAGGUUGCAUUGUGAAAGAUAUAUUCAAGUCCAACAAGGAACAUAAGCUCCUAGCAAUUGAGAAGGAUCUCUUACAGGUAGCAUCUGGCAUUUUUUUUGCUAGUUCUUUGUCCAGUGCCAAUGGUACCAGAAGUCCAUUUCCAGAUGAAAAUUGUACCAAAGGCCAGCUGAGAUGCAGCAGGAUUUUGCAUACAAUAAAUGAAAAAGUGUAACAUCUUCAUCAAUUAGUGGGUAAUCAUACUGGUUGCAGAAAAUGUAAUGCUUUAUUAACUAUUGGUGCACCAUUAAGAGCCUGUGUUGGCAUCGAGUGUAGAGCUACAUUUUUGUAAAAAUAUUGUUCUGAUGUUGUUGGAAAUAAGAGGUCUUUGCACGAACUUUAUGCAUGCCUAGAAGGCAAGAAAA